rnacentral:rRNA from 1 species
UACAGAGGUCUCAAGCGUUGUUCGGAUUCAUUGGGCGUAAAGGGUGCGUAGGCGGCGGGGCAAGUCGGAUGUGAAAUCUCAGGGCUCAACCCUGAAACUGCAUUCGAUACUGCCUUGCUCGAGGACUGGAGAGGAGAUUGGAAUUCACGGUGUAGCAGUGAAAUGCGUAGAUAUCGUGAGGAAGACCAGUGGCGAAGGCGGAUCUCUGGACAGUUCCUGACGCUGAGGCACGAAAGCUAGGGUAGCGAACGGG